UGGCUCAGGAUGAACGCUGGCGGCGUGCCUAACACAUGCAAGUCGAGCGGAGAGCCGUAACGGAAGCCUUCGGGUGGAAGAUGCGGUUACUUAGCGGCGGACGGGUGAGUAACGCGUGGAUAACCUGGCUCAUACAGGGGGAUAACAGAGAGAAAUUUCUGCUAAUACCGCAUAAGCGCACGUAACCGCAUGGUUAUGUGUGAAAAGCCGAGACGGUAUGAGAUGGAUCCGCGUCCGAUUAGCCAGUUGGCGGGGUAACGGCCCACCAAAGCGACGAUCGGUAGCCGGCCUGAGAGGGCGGACGGCCACAUUGGGACUGAGACACGGCCCAGACUCCUACGGGAGGCAGCAGUGGGGAAUA
rnacentral:rRNA from 1 species